rnacentral:rRNA from 1 species
GAUGAACGCUGGCGGCGUGCCUAAUACAUGCAAGUCGAGCGAACGGACGAGAGGCUUGCUUCUCUGAUGUUAGCGGCGGACGGGUGAGUAACACGUGGAUAACCUACCUAUAAGACUGGGAUAACUUCGGGAAACCGGAGCUAAUACCGGAUAAUAUUUUGAACCGCAUGGUUCAAAAGUGAAAGACGGUCUUGCUGUCACUUAUAGAUGGAUCCGCGCUGCAUUAGCUAGUUGGUAAGGUAACGGCUUACCAAGGCAACGAUGCAUAGCAGACCUGAGAGGGUGAUCGGCCACACUGGAACUGAGACACGGUCCAGACUCCUACGGGAGGCAGCAGUAGGGAAUCUUCCGCAAUGGGCGAAAGCCUGACGGAGCAACGCCGCGUGAGUGAUGAAGGUCUUCGGAUCGUAAAACUCUGUUAUUAGGGAAGAACAUAUGUGUAAGUAACUGUGCACAUCUUGACGGUACCUAAUCAGAAAGCCACGGCUAACUACGUG